GGAAUAGCUCAGUUGGUAGAGCAUUAGACUCUUAAUCGAGUCUAAGUUGGGCAAAAACAUUCCUGCAUUGCAGGGGGGUUGGACUAGAAUGAUGAUCCUAUGAUUCUAUGAUUUUACUUUGUAAUAUGAACAUAGGACAGUGACGCAGGUGGCGCUGUGGGUUAAACCACAGAGCCUAGGACUUGCCGAUCAGAAGGUCAGCGGUUCAAAUCCCCGUGACA